AUCAGGGAUUCCCCUGAGGGGGUGGGGAAUUUCAGUGACUCCUCCUUCCUCCUUCCUCCGCUGUAUCACUGUAAUCAGGGCAGCAGUUGUAACGAGUAAGUUCCGAAUAUGAUUUAUUACAUUUUGUAUCAUCGAUUGGCUUUUCCGGUUGCAGGUUUCACCAACUCUCUGGGGUUUGUUUCCGGUAUAAUCGACGAGACCGCAGGACGGGCUCUUUCUCGAGUUGCCAAGCUAGUCGAGAGCAACGCUAAAGUUGCUAAAGUUCUCAAUGCUGGUUUGGAAGUAUUUGCUUCAGCCUUCAGUAUCGACUCGUCAACUUCGAGCCGACACCUAACGAUACCUUAAAAAGGGUUGACAAGGCUUUCGAGAAGCUGACAGAAGAAGUGAACAAUAAACUGAGAAAGAUGAAGGGAUACGCGGACUGUAAAAUCCUCAAGCUGGAAAAACAAAAUGUCAAGAACGAGUUUGCCUCUCUGAAGCGUUAUCUUGGAAACUGCUUGUACGAGACCACAGAGCCCUUAGUACGAAGAUGUCUGCAAAAUUCUGUCAGGGACAAUGACGCGGCGUGGCCCAAAUUUGGAAAACUGAAAUGGGAGUUCGACAGAAAAUCAAAGGACAUCUCGAUAAAUGAUAUCAAAAGUCUGGAGGCCGCAUUGAUUCCGUUCAGGGACUUCGCCAGUCUGCAUCUCUUUGCUCUUCAACUGCUGAUCGACUCGUACAAGAACAAUCUUGAUACCAAGGGGAGAAAUGGACGUAAAGGGAAAAAUCGAAGAAAAGGGAAAAAAUGGAAAAAAAGGAAAAAGGGAUGAAAUAGGAAAGGAAAAAGAGGUUGAGAAUCAUUACAAUGGCGGUUUGCCGAAAGACGAUUACAUCAUGGAUAGGGAAGUCUACAAGCUGUAUUAGGGGGCUUUUGGUUAAAUAAAGGAGCGAACACUGAGAACCAGAUCUCGGUCAAGCCCAACUGCGCUAAAGGAGACGAACACGCGCCCAUCAACACGUGCAAGUAUAAGUACCACAUGCGAGUGGACGGGGAGGUUUUGGAACGCCCAUCAACACGUGCAAGUAUAAGUACCACAUGCGAGUGGACGGGGAGGUUUUGGAACGCUAUCCCGAUCGCAUGGCUCCUGUUCCUGAUAGCGAUAGCGCCUUGAGAUAUUUCGCCAAGGAGGAUGCCCAGGAUACGUGUAAACAAUACUUGGACGGCCUCGAGCAUGAUGUGACGACAUACUGGAAGACGGAACUUCUUAGUCUUGCUGAUUUGUGGGAAAAAGUACCUUAAGGCGCGUUUUUUUCUAUCAUUCUGGAAUGGGAAUGGGUUGGUGUCAAACCAAAAAGGUACAGAACAAAAGGUACAGAUCACAAUAGGUGGAACAGGUACAGAACAGGUAGCAGAAUAGGUGGAAUGGCCUUCAUUCCAUUUCGGAAUGGGAACGCGGAAUCACGAGAAAAAAAAGGCGUCCUUAGUUCUUAGGCCAUAAAUAAUGACAUAUGGGAGAAAGUACCUUAUCUUUCACAUUAGGUCUUGUUAAUGAUAUGAGGGAAAAGGUACUUUUCUUUGACCUUAUAGCUAAAUUCGUUGUUGCGCGACCUCCCAGAAUCCAAAAUCUCUUUCUUCGUUUGGGAAUAGCGCGUAGUCAAUCACACCAAACAAUCAAAACCAGACAGACCGCCCCCAAAGUUUGUGUCUGACUACGCGCUAUUUCCAAACGAGACCCGGAUUUUGGAUUCGCCAAAAUCGCAACCAUGUGGCAUUUAACUUUAAACUUUUCUAAAAUCUAUUGGACCAUAAACAUGACAAACUUCAAAUAUUAUUUUUUACAUCUUAAGCUGAGUAUGCUCAUCAAAGCUGUAGUUUACAGCUGAUCUUUGGAUUUGUGUAGCUGUAAAAGUAGUUUUGUGGUUGUCGUUGACGCUUCGGUUUUUGAUGGUGUGUGUAACCGCACAGUAGUAGUUACUAUUGGUGACGUUUCUCUGUGUGUGUGUUGCGAUGCUAGGAGAAUGUGCAUUAAAAUUUAAGGGGUCCAAGUUUGUUCUGAUAGGUCUGAAAAGUCUCAACAGUUUUGUAUUUAGCAACUUUUAGAUUUCUUGACGAAACGGUUUAUAAGGACCUUGCUUGGAUGGUUAUCAAAUAAUUUCCCUGUAGAAAAUGGUACAUAAAGCUUUGGAGCCAAUAAAAACAGGCCCGUACACAGCAAAAAGUCCACUUUCGGUGCGCAAUAGACGUGCUAUUCGUAGACAAAACUAUAAAGCAUAAGCUAGAUUACUCUGGUACGUCAUUAAUCCAUUAGUCUGACUUUAUGUAGCCAACUACGACAAUAAACGUCCCGUGGGGAAACUGCAAAGGCA